UACGUAGGGUCCGAGCGUUGUCCGGAGUUACUGGGCGUAAAGCGCGCGCAGGCGGCGGUGCUGGCCCGGCGUGAAAGCCCCCGGCUCAACCGGGGAGAGACGUCGGGGACCGCACCGCUUGAGGGCGGUAGGGGCUGGUGGAAUGCCUGGUGUAGUGGUGAAAUGCGUAGAGAUCAGGCAGAACACCUGGGGCGAAGGCGGCCAGCUGGGCCGUCCCUGACGCUGAGGCGCGAAGGCGUGGGGAGCAAACGGG
rnacentral:rRNA from 1 species